AUUUAAAGUAGUGUUGUCAAAUCGUACACUUUUGCCUAACCGGUUACUCGGAUAAUCGUUCGACCGAUUAACCGGUUAACCGAUAAUUUAAGUUGGUGUUUGAAAGCCUUAUCAAAAGAACCCUACACAUAGAUAUAAGAUGUGGUAUGAUUGUCAAUUUGUCAACCUUUCAUCAAAGUCAUAAAUACGCUUUUAGAAUUGAAGUUUUUCCUUUAGCAUUAUAAGGCUUGUCUGUGAGGAUUCCUGGCGAAGUUUGACUUUAAUAAUCAAAUACACGUAUCAACUAUAGCGUUUGUACCAACUUCAGAUUAAAAUAUAAAAAAAAAAUCUUAAUCUCGUAGAAUUGAAUAUGUCAUAUGUCUGAAACCGAUUAUUCUUUCCUUUUCUCUUGUUGUCUCCGAAAAUAAUGGGUGUGUUUCAAUUUGAAAUGAUUAA
rnacentral:lncRNA from 1 species